AUGUUACACCGCAGCGGGGAAGAGCCAGUGUUGGGUGAACAGCCGCGCGCUUCACGGCCUCUACACCCCUCUCGAGGUAUAUAUGCUCACUUCAGCUUAUCUUUUUCAGCUUCCAAGUUGGGAAAUGCAGAUACUCCUUUUGAGACUAAUGCUAUUUUAGUGGUUUACACAAAAGUAAAUGAAGACCUUGAAGAGAUUGGCCGCACUGAAGUGAUAUUGAAUUCACUGGAACCAUUGUGGGUCACGAGAACCAUAAUAAAUUACAGAUUUGCGGUUGUGCAACCACUCACAUUCAGGAUAUAUGACAUUGCCAAAAAGCAUCUCAAUACACCAGUGAAGAUGUUGUGUUGGGGUGAUCAAUAUUUUCUAGGGGAAGCCAUCUGCAGUUUAUCCGAGGUACUGACAAGGCCAAAUCGGAGCCUAAAACUGAACCUCCGAAAUGAUUAUGGAGCUCCACUACAUAGCACAUUGACUGUUCAUGCUCAAGAAAAUGUUUCGUCAAGGAUGGCAGUUGAGAUGACAUUCCACUGCCUGAACCUGUAUAACAAGGGCACUGACUCAAAAAGUGAUCCCUUCCUGAGAAUCUCAAGGUUGUCAGAAAGUCCUACUGCAAUUCCUCUCUGUGAAACAGAAGUGGUCGAUAACAGUUUAAAACCUGUUUGGAGGCCUAUGGCACUGACAUCACAACAGUAUGGUAGCAAGGCAAGUACAUUUAUCUUUUUGGCGGGUGCCAAGUUAGAUACCCCACUGCUAGUUGAGUGUUUAGAUUUUGAUGCCAAUGGAAAUCACAGAAUUAUUGGGACUCUCCAUACAACUGUCAGUGAGCUUGAAACACUGUAUAAGUCAAAAGCUGGAGCAGAUUUAUACAGCCAUAAGGGACAAAGGAAGCUCUUAAAAAGAAAGAAAGGAAAACUAUUCUUGGAUAAUUUCCAGGAAAAGGUAAAAUAUACUUUCUUGGACUAUAUAUCCUACGGUUUUGAGCUCAAGUUUAUGGUGGCUAUAGAUUUUACAGCAAAUAAUGGUAAUCCUGGUUCACAAUGGUCUUGGCACUACAUUGACCCCUCUGGCAGUCUAAACUUAUACCAGCAGGCAAUACAAGGGGUCGGCAAAGUUCUGCGGUCGUAUGGCAAUGGUAGCAAAAUUCAAGCAUUGGGUUUUGGUGCAUCUAUACAAGGCCAUCAUCUAUCACGCUGUUUCAACUUGGUCAGUGAGGAGCUCACAGGAGUUGCUGAGGCAUUUGCAGCUUAUGAAUCUACUCUAAAAUUGGUUUCCCUUGCGGGGCCAACCAUGUUUGGGCCUGUGAUCAACAAAGCUGCAGAAAUUGUCAGCCAUUCUGUGGAAAAUGGAAGUAAAACAUAUUCGGUCUUGCUCAUUAUUACGGCUGGAGAAUUUACUGACAAGCAAGAAACAGUAGAUUCUACUGUGAGGGCAUCAGAGUUGCCCUUGUCUAUUAUCAUUGUGGGAAUAGGGGAUGCUGAUUUCACAGGAAUGAAGAUGCUAGAGGCGGGCUACGGUAAGCGGCUGGAAAGCUCAACAGGUCAUGUCGCGAGCCGGAACAUUGUACAGUUUGCUCGCAUGAAGAAAAAUGGAGGUCAGAAGGUUCUCCAAGGUCUGCUGGAUAAGCUACCUGGGCAGCUCGUGGAGUACAUAUCCUGCCCCCGCCUGGUGGAUUGCCACACAUUAGACAAACUUGGGCUAGCAAUUGGAAAAACCGAGAGAUGUUUUGCCGCCAACCAUUUGGGUGUGUUUGGCAGCAAAUUAUUGUAA
rnacentral:rRNA from 1 species